AGAGUUUGAUCCUGGCUCAGAAUGAACGCUGGCGGCGUGCCUAACACAUGCAAGUCGCACGAGAACGUUUCAGCUUGCUGAGACUAUUAAAGUGGCGCACGGGUGAGUAACGCGUGGGUAAUCUACCUCCGAAUUGGGGAUAACACUGCGAAAGCGGUGCUAAUACCGAAUGAUAUCCCCGAGACUCUGGUCUUGGUGAUCAAAGGUGGCCUCUACAUGUAAGCUAUUGUUUGGAGAUGAGCCCGCGUACCAUUAGCUUGUUGGUAGGGUAACGGCCUACCAAGGCUUCGAUGGUUAGCUGGUCUGAGAGGAUGAUCAGCCACACUGGAACUGACACACGGUGCAGACUCCUACGGGAGGCAGCAGUGAGGAAUUUUGCGCAAUGGGGGAAACCCUGACGCAGCAACGCCGCGUGAGUGAUGAAGGCUUUCGGGUCGUAAAGCUCUGUCAAGUGGGAAGAACCUGCUUCGUGCCAAUACCACGAGGCACUGACGGUACCACUGAAGGAAGCACCGGCUAACUCCGUGCCAGCAGCCGCGGUAAUACGGGGGGUGCUAGCGUUAUUCGGAAUCAUUGGGCGUAAAGGGCGCGUAGGCGGUCGCUUAAGUCAGAUGUAAAAGCCCUCGGCUUAACCGAGGAAGUGCAUUUGAUACUAGGCGACUUGAGUAUGGGAGAGGGAAGCGGAAUUCCUGGUGUAGCGGUGAAAUGCGUAGAUAUCAGGAGGAACACCGGUGGCGAAGGCGGCUUCCUGGACCAAUACUGACGCUGAGGCGCGAAGGCGUGGGGAGCAAACAGGAUUA
rnacentral:rRNA from 1 species